GGCUGGGAUAUCAUCAUAUACUGUAAGUUUGUGAUGAGACACUACAGUAUAGAUGAUGUACUAGUC
ensembl:miRNA microRNA 144